rnacentral:lncRNA from 1 species
CUGGAUCCAUCGUUGGGUGCUUGGGUUGUCCAACAUGUAUUUCACAUAUUUAGAAGUAUGGCGACCCAAUUUACAUAGAAUGUGAAAAGGUAACUGAAUUUAUUCUCAACACUAUUUUCCUAAUUUUUUGUUGACAUAUAUAACAUAUGCUUGGCAACCAUAUGCCUCCUAUAGUGCUGAAUAAAAGACAUUAUUCUAUUUGACAAAUUGAGAAAAUUUAUUAGGGUCGUGUUGUGUAAAGCAAUCAUACCAACGGAGAUCAAGGCCUAGCUCAAGUUUUAGAAAGGAAAAUUUCUGCAAUGCUGAAAGGUUGCUCUCCUGCUGCUUUGUUCAUGGCCAGCCCUUUUCGUUUAUGUUCGUACAAAUUAGACCCCUGACUAGACGGGUCAUUAAUAUACACAACGUACGUCUAUGUAGCCUCCAGUUGGCCAUGUGCCUUUGCACAUUUUAGCAAAUACCUAAUCAGGUCGCCCGUGCUACUACUAGAUCUCCAACUUAAAUUAUUUUAUAGUUUGCAGUACCUCUUCUCCAUUGACCUUUAUAACUUUCUUCAUUUUAGAAUGUUGCGAAACUAAAGAUUUUUUUUAUGUUCUCCAGCUACUCAAGGCCUUUUUGUACGGGGUCUAAACUCAAUUUCUGCCUUGCAGACCACCAGGUCUGGAGGUGAAGGCUAGCAAGACUUGCCACAUACCAGGCCAGCCUACGGUCCAAUUUUAACUCUUGUCCACUUUGGCACCUCGAGAACAAUCUAUAUCAAGAUAAAUUAGAUAAUUCUUACAUAAAAUCGAGUCUAUAAGUUCAAGAAAACAUAAAGAUGGACUUUUGUAUGUCUUCCAAAACUGAUUUCGAUGUAUCAGAAUGGAGGAGAAAGAGGAUUCCCGGCCACGCCGCAAAAAACCC